GUCACUUUGGCCGAGUGGUUAAGGCGCGCCCCUGCUAUUUCAUCGGACUUCUGUGGAGUGUCUAAGGGCGUUCAUUCGUGAGCGUAGGUUCGAAUCCUGCAGGUGACG
rfam:Penicillium oxalicum 114-2 unplaced genomic scaffold scaffold_3, whole genome shotgun sequence.